GUCCUGGCCCUAAACGAUGGGCACUAAGUGGGGAGAUUCGACGUCUACCCUGCUGGAGCAAAUGUGUUAAGUGCCCCGCCUGGGGGAGUACGGUCGCAAGGCUAAAACUCAAAGGAAUUGACGGGGGCUCGCACAAGCGGUGGAGCAUGUUGUUCAAUUCGAGGCAACGCGAAGAACCUUACCCGGGUUUGACAUGCAGGCAGUAGGAGCCCGAAAGGGUAACGACCGGUUCAGUCCGGAACCUGCACAGGUGUUGCAUGGCUGUCGU
rnacentral:rRNA from 1 species